rnacentral:rRNA from 1 species
AACGAACGCUGGCGGCAUGCCUAACACAUGCAAGUCGAACGAAACCUCCGGGUCUUGUGGCGAAUGGGUGCGUAACGCGACGGAACCUGCCCUUAUGGUCGGAAUACCUCCCCGUCAGGGGUGCUAAUCCCGGACAAUGUCUACGGACCGAAGAUUUAUCGCCUUUGGAUGUGCCCGCGUUGGAUUAGUUAGUUGUUAGGGUAAAAGCCUACCAAGGUGACGAUUCAUAGCUGGGCUGUGAGACUGCUUAGCCACACUGGGACUGAGACACGGCCCAGACGCCUACGGGAGGCGGCAGUGGGGAAUAUUGGACAGUGGGCGAAAGGCUGAUGCAGCAAUGCCACGUGAGUGAUGAAGGCCUUAGGGUUGUAAAGCGCUUUUACCCGGGAUGAUAAUGACAGUACCGGGUGAAUAAGCACCGGCUAACUCCGUG